rnacentral:rRNA from 1 species
AGAGUUUGAUCCUGGCUCAGGAUGAACGCUGGCGGUAUGCUUAACACAUGCAAGUCGAACGGGAUCUUAGGAUCUAGUGGCGGACGGGUGAGUAACGCGUGAGAAUCUGGCUUCAGGUCGGGGACAACAGUUGGAAACGACUGCUAAUACCGGAUGUGCCGAAAGGUGAAAGAUUUAUUGCCUGAAGAUGAGCUCGCGUCUGAUUAGCUAGUUGGUAGUGUAAGAGACUACCAAGGCGACGAUCAGUAGCUGGUCUGAGAGGAUGAUCAGCCACACUGGGACUGAGACACGGCCCAGACUCCUACGGGAGGCAGCAGUGGGGAAUUUUCCGCAAUGGGCGAAAGCCUGACGGAGCAAUACCGCGUGAGGGAGGAAGGCUCUUGGGUCGUAAACCUCUUUUCUCAGGGAAGAAAAAAUGACGGUACCUGAGGAAUAAGCAUCGGCUAACUCCGUGCCAGCAGCCGCGGUAAUACGGAGGAUGCAAGCGUUAUCCGGAAUGAUUGGGCGUAAAGGGUCCGCAGGUGGAACUGAAAGUCUGCUGUUAAAGAAUCUGGCUCAACCAGAUAAAAGCAGUGGAAACUACAGAACUAGAGUACGUUCGGGGCAGAAGGAAUUCCUAGUGUAGCGGUGAAAUGCGUAGAUAUUAGGAAGAACACCGGUGGCGAAAGCGUUCUGCUAGGCCGUAACUGACACUGAGGGACGAAAGCUAGGGGAGCGAAUGGGAUUAGAUACCCCAGUAGUCCUAGCUGUAAACGAUGGAUACUAGGCGUGGCUUGUAUCGACCCGAGCCGUGCCGUAGCUAACGCGUUAAGUAUCCCGCCUGGGGAGUACGCACGCAAGUGUGAAACUCAAAGGAAUUGACGGGGGCCCGCACAAGCGGUGGAGUAUGUGGUUUAAUUCGAUGCAACGCGAAGAACCUUACCAAGGCUUGACAUCCCGCGAAUCUUUCUGAAAGGAGAGAGUGCCUUCGGGAGCGCAGAGACAGGUGGUGCAUGGCUGUCGUCAGCUCGUGUCGUGAGAUGUUGGGUUAAGUCCCGCAACGAGCGCAACCCUCGUUUUUAGUUGCCAGCAUUAAGUUGGGCACUCUAGAGAGACUGCCGGUGACAAACCGGAGGAAGGUGAGGAUGACGUCAAGCCAGCAUGCCCCUUACGCCUUGGGCUACACACGUACUACAAUGCUACGGACAAAGGGCAGCUACACAGCGAUGUGAUGCAAAUCUCAUAAACCGUAGCUCAGUUCAGAUCGAAGGCUGCAACUCGCCUUCGUGAAGGAGGAAUCGCUAGUAAUUGCAGGUCAGCAUACUGCAGUGAAUUCGUUCCCGGGCCUUGUACACACCGCCCGUCACACCAUGGAAGUUGGUCACGCCCGAAGUCAUUACCCCAACCGAAAGGAGGGGGAUGCCGAAGGUAGGACUGGUGACUGGGGUGAAGUCGUAACAAGGUA